rnacentral:rRNA from 1 species
CGCGUAGGUGGUUUGUUAAGUUGAAUGUGAAAUCCCCGGGCUCAACCUGGGAACUGCAUCCAAAACUGGCAAGCUAGAGUAGGGCAGAGGGUGGUGGAAUUUCCUGUGUAGCGGUGAAAUGCGUAGAUAUAGGAAGGAACACCAGUGGCGAAGGCGACCACCUGGGCUCAUACUGACACUGAGGUGCGAAAGCGUGGGGAGCAAACA